UACGGGGGGGGGCGAGCGUUGUUCGGAAUUACUGGGCGUAAAGGGCGCGUAGGCGGUCUGCUAAGUUGGAUGUGAAAACUCUGGGCUUAACCCAGAGCCUGCAUUCAAAACUGACAGGCUAGAGUUCUGGAGGGGAUAGCGGAAUUCCUGGUGUAGCGGUGAAAUGCGUAGAUAUCAGGAGGAACACCGGUGGCGAAGGCGGCUAUCUGGACAGAGUCUGACGCUGAGGCGCGAAAGCUAGGGGAGCAAACAGG
rnacentral:rRNA from 1 species